AUACGGAGGGUGCAAGCGUUAAUCGGAAUUACUGGGCGUAAAGCGUACGUAGGCGGCAAGUUAAGUUAGAUGUGAAAGCCCCGGGCUCAACCUGGGAACUGCAUUUAAAACUGGCUAACUAGAGUUAAGUAGAGGGGAGUGGAAUUUCAGGUGUAGCGGUGAAAUGCGUAGAGAUCUGAAGGAACACCAGUGGCGAAGGCGACUCCCUGGACUUGAACUGACGCUGAGGUACGAAAGCGUGGGUAGCAAACGGGAUUAGAAACCCCAGUAGUCC
rnacentral:rRNA from 1 species